UGGAAUCUUGGGGUCAGGGCUGGGGUUGGGGAGUUAUGAAGGCUAGGGCUGUGGAAAAGUUCAAGGGAAUUGUCUGGAGAGCAAGCUGCCCAGCAAGAGGAUGGAGCUAAAGAAGAUCCUCUCCUCUGAAGCCCCCUUCCAGAGAAAGAACCUGUGAGGAGGAGGAAGAGAAAAUCUAUGCUGUUUGGCCUCAGAUGCUUUCCUCGCUAAAUGCCUUCCUGACCCAGAGAGGUCCAGAGAGGAAGAGAGAGAGCAUGCAAAGACGUACAGACAGGGGAGACAGAAGAGAAGGAAAGAAGACAGGCAAAGGGAAGGUACAACCCUAAAGAAUCUGGGAUGUCAAUACCGGGCACGCGAUCCAUUCACUCAAGUAAGCCAUAUCCAGCUUAUGCGGAUGCCAGCUCCCUGCUGCCCCAGUUAAGAAUUGAGAGCCUUGUGCUGAAAUUACCAGGAGCUGUAUCUUCACUCUGUGUCUGUGAAUAAAAGGAAGGAGAUGCAUAACCAAGUUUGUGCGGGCAUGAGCCUGCAGGGCUGUUCACUGCCAAAGGAUUCAACUGGAACUCCAGCAUCUAAUGCUUCUUUUCACAUCUUCCUGGCAGCUCAGUGUAUUUGUUGGCCCUCCCAAGGCUUGACAAAGAGCACAUGUGGCUGUCUGAAGCUUGAGGUGCACACAGAAAGCUGGCACUUUCU
rnacentral:lncRNA from 1 species